CUCUUCUACAACAACUAUCUGGUUACAAAUUAAUUAAUAUUGUUGGUGUUGGUUACAAUGGGCUAGGAGCUGGUUUCAUUCUACUAUAGUGUCAAACAAACAACUAAUGGCUUCAAAUAUUAGUUACCAUGAGCCAGGUCCUACUUACACCCUAUUGCUUCUGCUUUGAUUUGAUCAUUCGCCGCCAAAUUUGGCUUCUCAUCCGUUUCCACACAAAUUUGCAGCCAUUGUGUCAAAUCACUUUUCAUUUAAAAUUUAAUUUCAUCUCUCAAAGGUCUUCUAAACCAAUAAACCUUAAUUACUUGUUGUCUCUCUCGGCUCACUCUCUCAUUUUCUCGGUUCUCAUCUUCCCUCAAUCCAUAUAGUGCUGGUCUAAGCGAGAAUGUCUCGAAAGGUUAACAGUAUUGCAGACAUUGAUGACUCCAAAGAGACGUGGAAACUGGGUGUUCGAAUAACCCACCUAUGGACUAAACAGAGGUCUCCGAAGCCCUUUAUAGAAACGAUCUUUCUUGACAACAAGGUAACUUUGUAAUUGUUGAAACUAUUGAAAAGGUUUUGGUAGCCAAUGGUUGGUGUUAUGAAGGUUGUCCCAAGUGUAACAUGAAAUGCGAAGAGAAGUUGUUCCCUUUCAUUUGUGUUGGAUGUCAGAAUGAAAAUUCAAGUACAGUGCUUAGGUUUAGGUUGGAAGUCAAAGUCUCACACCAUAAUGAUUCUUUAAAGUUUGUCAUGUGGAAUAAAGAGUUCAAUCUACUUAUUAACCAAACUGAUGCUGCCAUCAAGAAUCAGUUGAUUCAAGAGGUAUGGAUAUGUCAAGAAUGAGUUUCAUUACCAAAUAUCACUACCGUAAUUUACACAUUAAACUCUCCCUAAUAUGCAUAUCUCAAAUAUGUUCAUGUGGAACGAAAAAUUUGAUCCAAUGUCAUUUCCUGAGGCAAUUGACAAAGUGCUCAAAAGACAAUUUGUUUUCAAAAUUAAAGUUGUUCCAAACUGUUUUUGCUUUUUUGUUAUGGAAUUAUGUGAAGAUAAAGAACUUACUGCAUUAGCACUGAAAAAAAUUGGAGGUCCUCAAGUGAUUCAGGUCAUGAAAUAUUGUAUCUAUAUAUAUAAAGUAUAAGUGUGAAACAAAUUUUAUUGUUGUAGUUAAACUCAAACAUUUGAUUCCAACUAUAUGCAAUACUUGUCUAUCACACAAGCAGAAAAGUUAGUUUCCUUUGGGUACAGCUUUGAUGAUAGUCAAAUGAGUGUAUGUUUCUUAUAAUUAGGUUUGUAGAUCUAUCUGGUCAACAAAAUGUGAUAUUUGUAUUUUAUUUCAAAAUAUGCAACAAAUUGUAUCUAGUAGUGCAAACUAUGAUCCUGAAAUGUUGGAAUCUUUCAAACCAACCAAAAGGUUAUCCUCUGCAUCAAAGUUUCAUGAUGUUAGUGUGGAAGAUCUUGCUUCUGUUUAGCUUUCCAGCUCAAAGUUCUCUAAAUAGAUUAAAACUAAAUGAACGAGAACCCAAUAAAUAUAUUCAUAUGAGAACAGAAGUUAAGAGUAAGAAAAAAAGUAAGAAAUAACACAGUUCAGUUGCCACAUUUUAAUCAGGAUGACAAAUAAAAAUGGUUUUCAUCUUCAAAGUUAUUUUUUUCUUUCAAACAACAUGUUAACAUAAUUAAUCUUUUGUCACUCCAUAUGAUAGAUUUUAACUUCCUGUUAACCAAAACACAAAUAAAAGGUCUCAAUAUACGAGUAUAUCUUUGCAUUCAUAAUAUGACUAAUUUGAAUAUGUCAAAUUGAAAUAAGUGGGUCUUUGCAUGUAGUGUCAUGAUAACCGAGAGACAUUUGUUUUUUUAUGAAUAUUUUACUUAUUCAUAAUUAUAUUAAGUGAUUUGACAACACAUCUUUACCUAAGGCUAUUUUUUUCAUUUCCUGGCUAUAAUAGACUAUUUGUGCCCAUCUUUGGUUAGCUACUUUUGUUCUCUCACGUGCAUCAAGAAAAAUAGAGAGUUGUAGUUGUUGUGUUUUCUUCUCUUUUGCUAUUUUCACAAAGUUGCAACAAGGGGCUUCUCUUGCUUCUCUCUUUCAAUUUUUCUUCUUUAGAUAGAACCUGCUCAUUUCAUCAAGAAGCAGGUAUGAUCUUUUAGCAUUAUAUUUAAACAUUACUUUGUGUCUUUCUUCUUUAGUGAUUUCUUUAGUGUUUAGUUUC